rnacentral:tRNA from 1 species
AGGGUUAUAAGCUCAAUGGUAGAGUGCAUGCUUAGCAUGCACCAGGUCCUGGGUUCAAUCCCCAGUACCUCCA